GUCCAGCGUGAGACACAACUUGAAUCCAACCAGACUGAACACUGACUCCAGGGACAGACGAGCCUGAAGGACACAGCUGUGAUGACCAUGUUCUGUCUCUUAUGGCAAAGCAGAAAUAUUAAACACUGGGUUCUUAUCUAAAGUGUAUCAAAUCAGAUCUCCACCAUGUUGCUGCUGAGGACAUCAGGUGCUGCAGCUCUUCAUCUAUGAAGAGAAAAAACGCACUGUUAAAGAAUGUUUUGUGUUGUGUAUGAAGCACAACAGAUUUCAGAUAGAACUGUUGUCUUGGUUUGUAUCCUCAUGGUUAAAUGUACAUAUUUUAAGUCCCUUCUGAUAAAAGUACUGAAAGAAAUACACAUUGUACAAAUAGAUAAAAUGUCUUUCUACCUCAUCAGUAAUAUUCAAGGUGAUAAUCUCCCACAGAGCUAUUGAUAACAGUCCACAUCAAGUCUCUCCACUUCUCUCAGUGUGAAAACAUAAUUAUAUAAUUAAUUUGAGAACUGUUUACAACACUGAUGUGUGGAGAUUAAAAUCAUAUCUAAACUGUCUAAUUCACUGUAAAACUCCAUGACAUUCGCAGGCCAUCUGUAGUUAAGGGAGCAACGUAUGGAGUGAUGUGUAGAGGGCAGAAACUUGGACUAUGGGCAGAGAAGGUCUCUGGUUCGUCUCCGGUUCGACUCCACGGAGAGACAACAAAAGACAAACCUGGAUUGAUCUGUCCAAAAAUCCAAGAGUCUCCCUACCCUCUCUAGUGCCCCUGAGCAAGGCACCUCACUCCCCCAACAUCUGCUCCGUGAGCGCCGUACAUGGUCGCUCACUGCUCUGUGUGUCCUGCACCAGAUGGGUAAAAAGCAGAGAUUAAAUUUCCCUACCUGCAUGAGUGUGCCUUUGCAUGUCUGUGCAUGUGUUUGGGACGAAUAAAUGGAUCUUAAUCUUAAUCUUUUAAUCUUAAUCAGUUGUCUUCCAGUUGACCAGCAUGAAGCUGCAAAUCUCCACCAUGUUGCUGCUGAGGACAUCAGGAGCUGCAUUAAUGAGGAGCAGAAGCGCACUGUUAUGAAUGUUUUGUGUUGUGUAUGAAGCACCACAUAUUUCAGAUAGAACCGAUGUACUGGGGUCUGGGUUUGUAUACUAAUGGUUAAAUGCACAUACUUUAAAUCGCUUUUGAUAAAA